rnacentral:tRNA from 1 species
GCCUGGGUGGCUCAGUCGGUUGAGCGUCCGACUUCGGCUCAGGUCAUGAUCUCGCGGUUCGUGAGUUCAAGCCCCACGUCGGGCU